rnacentral:rRNA from 1 species
UACGUAGGGUGCAAGCGUUGUCCGGAAUUAUUGGGCGUAAAGAGCUCGUAGGCGGUCUGUCGCGUCGGCUGUGAAACCUCUAGGCUCAACCUAGAGCCUGCAGGCGAAACUGCCGUGCUUGAGGGUGGGAGAGGUGCGUGGAAUUCCCGGUGUAGCGGUGAAAUGCGCAGAUAUCAGGAGGAACACCGAUGGCGAAGGCAGAUCUCUGGGCCGUAACUGACGCUGAGGAGCGAAAGCGUGGGGAGCGAACAGG